CCAAAGUAGUGAACGUAAUUUAUCGUGAGCUAUCUAUAGAUAUUAUGCUCAUUACUUUGGAG
rnacentral:pre_miRNA from 1 species